rnacentral:rRNA from 1 species
UACAGAGGGUGCGAGCGUUACUCGGAAUCACUGGGCGUAAAGCGUGCGUAGGCGGUUUCUUAAGUCUGUCGUGAAAGCCCUGGGCUCAACCUGGGAACGGCGAUGGAUACUGGGAAGCUAGAAUGUGAGAGAGGAUGGUGGAAUUCCCGGUGCAGCGGUGAAAUGCGUAGAGAUCGGGAGGAACACCAGUGGCGAAGGCGGCCAUCUGGCUCAACAUUGACGCUGAGGAGCGAAAGCGUGGGGAGCGAACAGG